ACUCCUACGGGAGGCAGCAGUGGGAAUAUUGCACAAUGGGGAAGCCCAUGAUGCAGCCAUGCCGCGUGUGUGAAGAAGGCCUUCGGGUUGUAAAGCACUUUCAGUCGUGAGGAAGGUAGUGUAGUUAAUAGCUGCAUUAUUUGACGUUAGCGACAGAAGAAGCACCGGCUAACUCCGUGCCAGCAGCCGCGGUAAUACGGAGGGUGCGAGCGUUAAUCGGAAUUACUGGGCGUAAAGCGCAUGCAGGCGGCCUGUUAAGUCAGAUGUGAAAGCCGGCU
rnacentral:rRNA from 1 species